CGUAUCAAAUUAUCAUACCACAUUUUAACAGACUGGUUCACGAGUUCUUAGGAUUGUUGCUCUUAUUGUUUAUAGAAACGUGAAUAUUGCGGAAAGAUAUUAAAAUGGGAAACGCCUCAAGUAGAAAUGUGUUUAGGUGCAAAAGUGAUUUCAACCACGGUCCGAUUGAAAGUGGAAACGAACCAAGGUCAGAAGGUUUUGUCAAAAUGUUGGUGGAAACAAGAAGCAAAACUACCGGUGCGAUAAGUCUUCCAACUCAAACUUCACCAGCAGCCCCAUCAACUCCUUCUGGCUUCAGAAAAAAUUCGCUUUUAAAAAUGAUCAAAUUUUAAUUAUACGUAUAAUAACUUUCCAUAUUUAUGUAGAUAUUGCAUUAUGUACAUUGCGUUUAGUUGUUACUUCAAACGGAAACGAAGGACCAAUGAAAUAUACGUAUGUAUGUUUGCAAUUGUCAAGUAGUUUUGUACACUGAAAAUGUUUAAUAAAUAAGUUAACCCGGACAUUUAAAUACA